GAUGAACGCUGGCGGCGUGCCUAAUACAUGCAAGUCGAGCGAACGGACGAGAAGCUUGCUUUUCUGAUGUUAGCGGCGGACGGGUGAGUAACACGUGGAUAACCUACCUAUAAGACUGGGAUAACUUCGGGAAACAGGAGCUAAUACCGGAUAAUAUUUUGAACCGCAUGGUUCAAAAGUGAAAGACGGUCUUGCUGUCACUUAUAGAUGGAUCCGCGCUGCAUUAGCUAGUUGGUAAGGUAACGGCUUACCAAGGCAACGAUGCAUAGCCGACCUGAGAGGGUGAUCGGCCACACUGGAACUGAGACACGGUCCAGACUCCUACGGGAGGCAGCAGUAGGGAAUCUUCCGCAAUGGGCGAAAGCCUGACGGAGCAACGCCGCGUGAGUGAUGAAGGUCUUCGGAUCGUAAAACUCUGUUAUUAGGGAAGAACAUAUGUGUAAGUAACUGUGCACAUCUUGACGGUACCUAAUCAGAAAGCCACGGCCAACUACGUG
rnacentral:rRNA from 1 species